rnacentral:tRNA from 1 species
GGUUCUCUUAGCUCAGUUGGUAGAGCAGUCAAACUUGCAACCUGAAGGUAGGCGGUUCGAAUCUGCCAAAGAGACCA